rnacentral:rRNA from 1 species
GAUGAACGCUGGCGGCGUGCCUAAUACAUGCAAGUCGAGCGAACAGACGAGGAGCUUGCUCCUCUGACGUUAGCGGCGGACGGGUGAGUAACACGUGGAUAACCUACCUAUAAGACUGGGAUAACUUCGGGAAACCGGAGCUAAUACCGGAUAAUAUAUUGAACCGCAUGGUUCAAUAGUGAAAGACGGUUUUGCUGUCACUUAUAGAUGGAUCCGCGCCGCAUUAGCUAGUUGGUAAGGUAACGGCUUACCAAGGCAACGGUGCGUAGCCGGCCUGAGAGGGUGAGCCGGCCAAAUGGAACCGAGACCCGGGCCCAACUCCCGCGGGGGGGAACAGGGGGGAAUAUUUCAGAAAGGGCGAAAGCCUGGUCGGGGCAAGGCGGGUGUGUGAAGAAGGGCUUGGGGUUCGAAAAACCCUUUUGUUGGGAAAAAAAAAAGUUGGAAAAAACCUUGCUGGUUUGACGGUAACCAAAGAAAAAACCCCGGCUAAAUUACUG